rnacentral:lncRNA from 1 species
CUGUAGUUGGAGCCGUAAAGCGAGGGAACAUUUCAAAACGAACCUGAAUCUGCAUACCUGAUGAUGAUCUGGAGAGAUUUUCUAAUCAAACUAUGAUCGGUGUAAGUCUCUAAGUCUGUAUAUCGGUUUAACUUGCUAAUUGAAUAUGAAAUAUUUAGAUACUUUUCAAGGAAUUAGCAUCAGAAUUGCCUGGCAUUUAACUUAGGUGAAACCCCCAGUCACAACGCAAACUUAAAUCUUUGAUUCACGCUUUACAAGGGACUGAGCUCUUUAAAAUCAAUUUCUCGACUCAUUUUGCUUUCUCAUGCGCCCCAGCUUCAUGUGGAAAUGCCUUGUCGAGUCGGAUGAAAAAACACUUUCCCCAAAAACAGAACCCAUCAGCAUAAGAGCGUUCCAUCGAAAUGUAAAAAUAUGUGGGACUGACUGGCCUGGCCUGGCCCCAAAUUCUCGAAACGCAUAAAUUGAUAUUCGAAUACUUUCCCCUCCGCUCCGCAAUGAACAGCCAAUACCAG